UUCUUUUAUUGUUUUAUUUCGCCCGUAAUCGGAUCCUUCUCCUAUACAUGAUGUUUGCAUGUAUUGUUGUAUUGAGAUCCUCAUGAUGUAGCUUGUGGCAAGUGUAAGCCAAUUCCAUACUCAUAUCUUCUAUAUGUGUACUUGUAACGAUAUCCAUUCUUGUGAAACAACGAGAUGCGCUUCUAUCCCUGUCGAGUCCCU
rnacentral:lncRNA from 1 species